rnacentral:rRNA from 1 species
CCUGGCAACGAUAGCGCGGUGGUCCCACCUGACCCCAUGCCGAACUCAGAAGUGAAACGCCGUAGCGCCAGCUCGCUCCGGCACCUGUCAUGG